rnacentral:rRNA from 1 species
UAGUCGGAUUAGCUAGUUGGUGGGGUAAAGGCCUACCAAGGCGACGAUCUGUAGCGGGUCUAAGAGGAUGGAUCCGCCACACUGGGACUGAGACACGGCCAGACUCCUACGGGAGGCAGCAGUGGGGAAUAUGGACAAUGGGGGGAACCCUGAUCCAGCCAUGCCGCGUGUGUGAAGAAGGCCUUAUGGUUGUAAAGCACUUUAAGCGAGGAGGAGGCUCCCGAGCUAAUAUCACGGGAUGGACGUUACUCGCAGAAUAAGCACCGGCUAACUUUGUGCCAGCAGCCGCGGUAAUACAGAGGGUGCGAGCGUUAAUCGGAUUUACUGGGCGUAAAGCGUGCGUAGGCGGCUUUGCAAGUCGGAUGUGAAAUCCCCGAGCUUAACUUGGGAAUUGCAUUCGAUACUGGGAAGCUAGAGUAUGGGAGAGGAUGGUAGAAUUCCAGUGUAGCGGUGAAAUGCGUAGAGAUCUGGAGGAAUACCGAUGGCGAAGGCAGCCAUCUGGCCUAAUACUGACGCUGAGGUACGAAAGCAUGGGGGAAACAGGAUUAGGCUGCCUGGUAGUCCAUGCUGUAAACGAUGUCUACUAGCCGUUGGGGCCUUUGAGGCUUUAGUGGCGCAGCUAACGCGAUAAGUAGACCGCCUGGGGAGUACGGCGCAAGACUAAAACUCAAAUGAAUUGACGGGGGCCCGCACAAGCGUGGAGCAUGUGGUUUAAUUCGAUGCAACGCGAAGACCUUACCUGGCCUUGACAUACUAAGAACUUUCUAGAGAUAGAUUGGUGCCUUCGGGAACUUAAAUCAGGUGUGCAUGGCUGUCGUCAGCUCGUGUCGUAGAUGUGGGUUAAGUCCGCAAGAGCGCAACCCUUUUUCUUACUUGCCAGCAUUUCGGAUGGGAACUUUAAGGAUACUGCCAGUGACAAACUUUAGUCAGCGGGGACGACGUUGCUUCAUCAUGGCCCUUACGGCAGGGCUACACACGUGCUACAAUGGUCGGUACAAAGGGUUGCUACACAGCGAUGUGAUGCUAAUCUCAAAAAGCCGAUCGUAGUCCGGAUUGGAGUCUGCAACUCGACUCCAUGAAGUCGGAUUACAUGUCAUCGCUAGUAAUCGCGG